rnacentral:rRNA from 1 species
UACGAGGGGGGCAAGCGUUGUUCGGAAUUACUGGGCGUAAAGGGCGCGUAGGCGGUCUGACAAGUCUUCCGUGAAAGCCCACGGCUCAACCGUGGAACUGCGGGGGAAACUGCCAGACUUGAGUCCGGGAGGGGAGAGUGGAAUUCCCAGUGUAGCGGUGAAAUGCGCAGAUAUUGGGAGGAACACCGGAGGCGAAGGCGUCUCUCUGGACCGGUACUGACGCUGAGGCGCGAAAGCCAGGGGAGCGAACGGG